rnacentral:rRNA from 1 species
AAUGAACGUUGGCGGCGUGGAUUAGGCAUGCAAGUCGAACGAGAUCUGUAGCAAUACAGUGAAAGUGGCGAAAGGGAGAGUAAUACGUAGGUACCUGCCCUCGGGUCUGGGAUAGCUGCGGGAAACUGCAAUUAAUACCGGAUGACGUCUCUGGACCAAAGGUGUGAUUCCGCCAGGGGAUGGGCCUGCGUCCUAUCAGCUUGUUGGUGUGGUAACGGCGCACCAAGGCUAAGACGGGUACGGGGUGUGAGAGCAUGCCCCCGCUCACUGGGACUGAGAUACUGCCCAGACACCUACGGGAGGCA